AAUAUUGACCCGAAAUGGCGACAGAGGGGGACAUAGUGAUUUCCAAGACAGAGUUGCAUGACUUUGCUGUUCGUUGUGUUGUUGCAGCGGGGGCGGACCCAAACCACGCAACAGACUUGGCGGAUGUUCUGCUCACCGCGGAUUAUCGAGGUCACUUCAGCCAUGGGAUGAAUCGGCUGGAAAUGUAUUCAAGCGAAUUGCAGUCCGGUGUGUGUCGAGGCGGUGGUGCAUCGCCGGAGAUUGUCCGACAGACAGUAGCCACAGCUCUAGUGGAGGGCCACAAUUUGUUGGGACCAGUUGUGGGGAAAUUUGCAGUUGAUUUAGCGAUCCAAAAAGCCAAAGAAGCUGGUAUUGGUAUGGUCACGGUGCGAGGAUCCAACCACUUUGGUAUGGCUGGGCAUUAUUCCUUAAGGGCAAUGGAGCACGGGUUAAUCGGAAUGUCUUUCACAAAUACCUCUCCUGUCCUAAAUCCGACCAGAUCUAAAGAUUGCUGGGUACCAACCCUAUUUGUAUGGCAGCGCCGGGUAAAGAUGGCGACAAUUUUGUCCUAGAUAUGGCAACCUCCAGCGUUGCUUUGGGAAAGAUUGAAAUCCAGGAGAGAAGAAAUCGCCCACUACCACCGGGAUGGGCGGUUGAUGCAGAUGGAAAAGAAACAUACGAUCCGAAAAAGGUCAAAGGUCUUUUACCACUUGGAGGAACAGAGGAGAGCAGUGGUUACAAAGGGUACGGGUUAUCCAUGAUGGUGGACGUAUUAACAGGAAUACUCAGCGGGGGGUCAUUUGGACCUCACAUCCGGUUUUGGAAGGGAGCCUCUCGAGUCGCAAAUCUGGGACAUUGUUUUAUUGUGUUUGACCCCAAAGCUUUCACAGACGAUUUUGAGGACAGAAUGAGUGAGCUGAUCGACUACUGUAGGCAGCUGGAGUCGGUGGAGGGACCAGAUAAGCCUGUUAUUGUAGCUGGAGACAGAGCCAGAAAACACAUGGAGAUGUGUGAUAAACUCGGGGGCAUUCCCUACCACCCCAAACAGGUGGACUUCAUGAAUGAGAUGGCGAAAAAGUUUAACAUAACACCAGUUAAACCUUUGACAUGAAGACUAAACAGAAACUGAAAGAACCCCAUAGCAAUUUAUCACCAAAUCGUUGAAUUUAGAUUACAAUUUCGUGUAUCAUUUACACGUCCAGUUACUCGGAAUUGCAAUAAAAUAUUUUCUAUAGAAAUUUU
rnacentral:misc_RNA from 1 species